rnacentral:rRNA from 1 species
UACGGGGGGGGCAAGCGUUGUUCGGAAUUACUGGGCGUAAAGGGUGCGUAGGCGGUUCGUUAAGUUGGAUGUGAAAACUCUGGGCUCAACCCAGAGCCUGCAUCCAAAACUGGCGGGCUAGAGUUCUGGAGGGGGUAGCGGAAUUCCUGGUGUAGCGGUGAAAUGCGUAGAUAUCAGGAGGAACACCGGUGGCGAAGGCGGCUACCUGGACAGAAACUGACGCUGAGGCACGAAAGCUAGGGGAGCGAAUGGG